rnacentral:rRNA from 1 species
AGUGAACGCUGGCGGUAGGCCUUACACAUGCAAGUCGAACGAGUGGCGGACGGGUGAGUAAUACAUCGGAACAUGCCCCGUCGCGGGGGAUAACUCCUCGAAACAGUCGCUACUACCGCAUACGAUUGGAUCAGCCGAUAUCGGAUUAGCUAGUUGGUGGGGUAACGGCUCACCAAGGCGACGAUCCGUAGCUGGUCGGAGAGGAUGACAAGCCACACUGGACCUGAGACACGGCCAAGACUCCGACGGGAGGCAGAAGUGGGGAAUAUUGGACAAGGGGGGAAAGCCUGAUCCAGCCAUUCCGCGUGUGUGAAGAAGGCCUUGGGGUUGUAAAGCACUUUUGGCGGGAAAGCGGUACCUGAAGAAUAAGCACCGGCUAACUACGUGCCAGCAGCCGCGGUAAUAC